rnacentral:lncRNA from 1 species
UCUCCCUCCACACCUCCCUGCAAGCUGAGGGAGCCGGCUCUGGCCUUGGCCAGCCCAGGAAGGGACUCCCACAGUACAGCAGUGGGCUGAAGGGCUCCUCAAGUGCCCCCAUAGUGGAAGCCCAGGCAGAGGAGGCGCCAAGAGCGAGUGAGGGCUGUGAGGACUGCCAGCACGCUGUCACCUCUCAGCAUUGCCCAAGGAGAGUGGGCUAUGCGGGAGGAAAGAGAGAACUAGAAAGGAUUAUCUUGAUUAUUUAUAGAAAAGGUACAAGUGCUCCAUGGAGAAAAUGGUGAUUCAGCGCCUGAGCCAUGAAAUAUACAAGAUGAGCCUGGAGAAUCCUGCAGUUCUAGAAAGGUGCUCCUUGACAUCCUAUGAAAGAAUGUCCUUGAAGAAAGAUGCUAAAAUGUUCAACGAUUUUUUUAAAGCAGAAAGUCUGAAGUAGCUGCGUUUUUAUUUUAGGUUCAGUGGGUACAUGUGCAGGUUUGUUACAUGGAUGAAUUGCGUCACUGAGGUUUGGAGUACAAAUGUUUGUGUCACCCAGUAGUGAGCAUAGUAACCAACAGAUAAUGAAUAUCACUUUGGAAUAAAACAGCAAAUGAAAUAGUUGCAGAUUGUACCAUCAGUUUAUGUGGCCUCUAAGGGAGAAGAUUUCAUUUAAGAUACAAAGUCCGAAGAACAAAUCACUCCAACAGGAUUCAGCCUCGUCGUUUCCUGUGGAAAAAGAAAGAAAGAAAGAAAAAAGUUUGCCUACCUAUUUUGUGUUUUUCCUAUUUAAACAGAGUUUCAUGAGAACAGAAAAGUAGUCUUAGAGAUUUUGCCAAAAUUGCAGCAAUUACCUUUGAAGACUUGGCAAUGCUUAGUGGACAAGAAUCUGAAAGGUAGCUAAAAAGGUGCAUUCUAAGCGAUAGUACUUAUAUUGGUAUAAGCACUUUGUAGAAUUUUGUGUUCAUAUACAUAUGCACAUAUACAUAUAUACAAGCCUCUAUAGUCUCUUUCUGCAUAUAUACAUAUAAAAUCCUUAUCAACCCCAUGAUACAGAAAUGUAGCGUGUUGGUACACUCAGUUUGUCAACUGAGAAAACACUGUCUCAAUAAGGUUUAGCAAUUUACCACAUGGUACAUUUGGAAAAAAGACAAAGCAGACAGAGCUAUUUAGGUUCUUGGUGAAUUUCCCCUUUCCCUAAACCCACAGGCUUCUAUAACAUCAAUUACUAAUUUUGAGCCAAAUCAGUUGGCAAAAGGAAUUUUGUAAAUGAGUUAAUGAAAAGGGAGAUUAUUUAGAUGGACCUGACCAAGUCACAUGAACUUUCACAUAAGGUUCUACAGGUCAGAGACAGAGGAAAAAAUCGUAACUCAAAAUACAGAAAGUAUUCAACUUCUCUUUGAAGAUUUAGGGGUCCAUGUAACAGAAAACAGUGGGCCCAACCCAAAGGGGCUCAAAGUGGAUUCUUCUCCAGAGCCUCUAUACCUUGAGUGAAACUCCUUUAGCAGAGAAUCCAGUAAAAUCAAACCUGGAGUUGUAACAUAUAGAAAUGUAAGAUCAUAAAUGGAUGUUGUUUAAGUUACUAAGUUUUUGGUAUUUUUAUAUAGUAAUAUAAAAUUAAUUCAAGUAGGACUAUAAUUUUCAAAUUCUCAAACUUCAUGAUACAGGUAGAAGGGAUCAUGUUCCUCCAUAA